UUCCCCCACUGCCUCUAUCGUUAUGACACUCUUCCUUUCCAGCAUUUUCUUUAUGUCUCAAUAGCCAGAGUCAGCCCUCAUCUCCUCAUUUCCCUUUGUUCCUGCCCAGAGGAAUCACAUAGACUGAAGAAAAGGAAACUCUCAGAGAAAAAUAAAAAGGUCACCAGAGCUAACAAAUGGGAGAACUGGGAUGUUAAGCCAAGAUCUGUCUGCCUCCGGACCCCAGCUUCAGAAAAGAGAUGAGCUUCAGAGACAUUGGAAAAGAACUCUGCUUGAGAAAGAAGAUCGUCCACCAGCAGGAAGACAAGCAUAGACAGUGGGCUACAGAAAAAAGUGUCUGUUCUGAGGAACAAUAGAAUGAACUGAAUGGAUAAAACAAGUUUUAUGGACAACUCAGACGUCAGUGUCUUCACAUUAUGAUACUUCAUCAGACAUUGGUAGUCUGAUUUCAGGUUUUCAUAUGAGAAUGGAGUUAAUAAUGGGACUUGGAUUCAAUACUCUAUUGAGGUAUGAUGUGUUUUUUCCUGUACUGACGGGGUUCAAACCAUGCUACUCCAAAAUAUGGCACCUUGGCAUUUGAGGAAACAGCAGAAUCAGGAAGACUGCUUUCACUUUCUCCUUGCCUUUCUUCCCUGAAGCAAUUCAUAAGACCUACAUUUGAGAGGUGCCAUUCCUAUACCCAGAGGAAAGGAAUAUCUUUAUCUUUGAAGACAUAGGUACACGGAGAAGAAUCUACAAAAGCAAGACUAGCUAACCCCCACCCCCAACCUGUUAGUUAUUGUCUAAUCAUAUUUCUUCAUGACCAUUCACUUUUUAAAAUCAAAAAUAACAUAAAAAAUAUACAGGUUUACUUACUUCUUUAGGUUCUCAUUUCCUUACAAAGGCUUCUGUGUCACAUAAAGCUUAUAUUAAAUAAAUUUUUAUGCUUUUGUCUUGUUAAUCUGUAUUUUAUUAUAGGGGCAUCAGCCAUGCAUCUUGCAAUGAAUGAGAAAAAAAUCUUUCCUCCACUAUGGUUCUCAUUUACGACUGUCUGAUACAUAGUAAAUGCUCACUAAGUCACUUUCUUAUUCUGCCACAAGUGAUUAGACAGUCAUGUGAUAAGGUGGAAAUAUUAUAUCUUCGUUGUUUAAGGGUAUGAAUUAAUACCAGGGGGCAGAAGGGGACCAUUUCCUAGAUGCUUUUCCCAUUGAUAUUCUAGUCAGGUCAGCUACCCUGCUAAAAUGUCUUAAAUUCCCCCUUUUUAUCUUUCUCUUGUCACUUAUUUCAGGUCUUCAGCAUCUGUCUCUUGUACUUCGGCAUUCUCUCUGCCCAUUGGUAUCAUUUUCCAUUCAUACUCCUGUUACUAAAUUGGCUCUAAACAUGUACAGUAUGCACAGACAGACAUUUGAUUGUGGUACUCCUCCACUUAAAAUUCUUUUAUAUUCCCAACUAACAAUCGAAUUUCCUUUAAACCAAGGGCACCAGGAAGAGGUAAAAGGGAGCUAACCAAAGCGGUCUUUUGAGCCUCUCACUGCCACUCAACUCUAACAAUUCUGCUUUGCAUAUUUUAUAUAUUAGGCCCAGCUAAAAUUACAUUUAAAGAGAAAGCAUUAGUCAACAAUCACCUUAAUAAUGCUAUGUAAUAAGCAUCUUUCAAAGUCUUACAAUGACAAACAUUUUCUUUGUUCAUAGGUUUUAGGAUUUGCUGAGGUGGUUUUGUGACAGGUAGUUCAGAUUUUCUUCACAUGUUUUUUGGUAUGAGUGGCCUUUUGUGACUUGCUGUCCCUAUGAAGCAUGCAGAUGUCCUAGAGACAGAUCAAAUAAUACAAGUACAUUUCAAAGUUUGCUCAUAUCCUAUCUGUCCAAAUGACAUUGGCCUAUGACAAUCAGUCAAGAAGCAUACUAAACCCAUAGUGAAACCAUGGCAAGGGCACAGAGGUCAUGGGAGAUCAUGAAUAAAUAAUACUAUCUGCUCCAUAAAGCGUCUGCUGUUCUAAACAAAAUUUUAAAACAGUUGAUCUGCCAAGUAAAUAGAAAACCUCAAGGGAAGAGUAAAAACCUUCAUGACUUCUUAUUUACCUUUCAGUUUAUUUCAGGACACUCACUGCUAUAUCUUAGUAUCUUGCAGCAAAAGAAUCCUAACAGCUUCCUCUGCAUAUAUCUUUUCUCCUGUUUUGAAUGCUCUACCUCCUCUGCCUGGGAAACUAAUUCUCAUCCUUGGUUACCUAGCUGAUGGUUAAUUGUGCUAUUCCCAAAUAAACAUUUUAUUGCUGACAUGAACAAAUACUCUCAAUCUUGAAAUCAAAUGACUCACAUAUAGGCUUAGAUCCAUUUAGUUCAUCCAAGCAAAAACAAAUCCCAUUAAAGCAAAGUCUGUAAGGGAAUGCUGCUGAGACUGGUUUUGCCCACCCCUGUUCAAGAAUGUUGAUUAAAAUAGGCUAGAUUUGUUUAUCCGAGGCUUUAACGUAUAAUAUUUUUAAAAAGAAGUGUAUCAUACAAUGGCAUUCAUGUUGACUCUGCUACCAUAAUUUACGUAGAACAGAAAAUAAGUGACAUUCAGUAAAACUUUUAUAUUACUUUUUAUCAUUAGGGAAUAAUUAAAAGACUAAGUUGUUCUGGGGUUCACAUUGCACUCUUUUUGUCUUUUCCAUGUUCUUCUAGCACUUUAACAUGCAUCCUUUACAGUUCUUUCAGCCAUGCUCUGCUACUUUGGAAUGUAACUCUAUUACUUUCUUGUAUAAGAAAUCUUGAUAUUAAUUGUCUAGUUGGAUCUACUCCUUAGGGUGUGUACUGUAAUCAUGUCUUUCGACCAUUUUAUUCAUGCAGUCAAGAAAGGACAUUUUAUUUUACUGCCUUUGGAAAGGGCAGUAUUUUGGGGCAAAAGCUGAAUAUAGUUCUUCAUGGAACUGAAAUGUGAGUACAAAAAUACUAGUGAAGUAAAUAUUGCCUUGGCAGCUCAGGCUUAUCUAGUUUAACCAUGUUAUGUUCAUUGUAUUGUAGAUUACAUAUACAUUCCAAAAACAGGAAAUUCAAUUUGUGCUUGCAAAGAACAUCUCAAAGUAGAUGGAGGAAGAGCAAGAGCGAAGGGGGCUGGUUUACUAGUAUACCAGAGCCAGGACUUGGACUUUUGUGCUGCAGUUAGUUGACUGUAGGUAACUGAAACCUACGCUGGAGAAACUGCAGAUUUGGGUCUGGAUUACAGAAGUCACUUGAUUUCACCUGGAUCUGUUACUUCAUGAGUGUAAAGAUAAAGCUGGAUUAUGACUUCUGAAGGUGUUUUUGUUCAACACUUGAGAUGAAUGAUAUUUGAAGAGCACAUAAAAGGAGUCGUGCUUAAUCUUGGGAGAUGUGGAUUAAGAAACCUGGGUCAGAAAGCCGAAGUAGAGUACAUAUGGUAUGAGCACAAAAUGUGCAGGUUGUAGAAAUUAUGGUAAAAUCUCUGCCACAUAAAAGAAAGAGAAAUCUGCGAUUCAAUCCCAAUCUUGCAUCUAGCCAGUGGUGUACUGGAAUUUUCAGGCACAAGUUCCUUCAUCAGUGAAAUGAGAAGAAAGGAAAACACAAUCUCUAAGUUCUCAGAGCUGCACCAUUCUGGAAACUACACACUUUUGCUCUUCCAUAAGAGCAAAGCCUAGCCAGUAUCCUACCCUAUUGGGCUAGACACCCUAGGGAAGCAGGUGGGAUUUGAAAAUUGGAACACAA
rnacentral:lncRNA from 1 species